rnacentral:lncRNA from 1 species
GAGGCCUCCUUCCACGGACGCUAAGACCGGUCGCAAGCGACACACAGUCUCCAUGAGUGUACACGUUAACCCUUACUAGCAAACCUUCGUCUAGCGUAGGGUCCGAAUUCGAUUUCUUUUAUAGUUGGCGAACCAACACAGAUAGGAUACAUACAUAAAACAUAAACAUUUUUGGCAGACAAUCAUUUCAUAAACAUUUCCUUUCCUUUCAUAAGAACCAUUCAUCAUUUAAUCAUUUCCAUAAACAUUUCAUUUCAUAAAAACCAUUCACCAUUUGAAAUAAUACAGUCAUAUCAUGUCAUUCAUUUCAUUUCGUAUAAGAGGCCUGUAUGCAGGGGAUCUCUAUAUACGUGUUUUAAGAAAGCCCACCU